rnacentral:RNase_P_RNA from 1 species
UGAGUCGGUUGUGUAAUCGCGGGGGCGUAUGAAAAGACGCCAAUGAGGAAAGUCCGAGCAUCAUAGAGCAAGGGCGCCGGAGAAAUCCCGGUGAGGGUGACCUUAAGGAAAGUGCAACAGAAAUAAACCGCCUAUUUUUAGGUAAGGGUGGAAAGGCGCGGUAAGAGCGCACCGUACCCUUGGUAACAAGGGUAGCCAUGUAAACCCCGUCCGAUGCAAGAUUGACAAAGCAUAGCGCAUAAACUGCUCGUUUGCUGUGCUUUAAUAAAAUAUCGCUGGAGGCCAUUUGAGAAUUUGGUCGUAGAUAAAUGAUUACACACGACAGAACUCGGCUUAUAGACCGACUCGGCGG